UCACGGCCCAGUGGUGAUUUGGCCGGUCGCUUGCAGCCACUUAAAACAAAUCGCUAAAGACCGUUGUGGAGCCGGC
rnacentral:ncRNA from 2 species